AGCAGAGCUAAGUUGCAUGUUUUAGAGGAAAGAUGUGGGAUUCGGAGCUGGGGUUGCAUUGCAGCUGCUACCUACUAUGAUGGACCCUCGGGCAAGUUUUAUUGAACUUUUGGCAGGUCUCCAUAUUACAGACUGUUCUACAUCGUUAAAUGAAAUAUUCUUCAGAAUGGACUAGGAAUGGUCAACUCAACUGUACAAUAAAUUUACAAGUUAUUUUAAACAACUAUAUUUUCAAGUUAAAACUGAUUAAAAUCUAAUCCGAUCAUCAGCUCACUUGGAGUAGUUCUCUACCUUCAUGACCUGAACUUUGGCUCUCACCUCAAUAUCAUAGAUUAUAAAAAUCCUAGACACCUGGAAAUAAACUCACUGCUUCAGAGACAAGAAUCAAGCAAUGCACCCCACUCAUCCUCAAAGUCGAAAGAGAACGUUGCUGAAAAUAGGAGGUUCUUAACAGAUGCACGGCCGCCGCCUUUGUGUGCUGGGAAGUUGGACCAACCUACAGUUUCUUUGCUGCUCACAAAAGUAGGAACCCAUCCUAGAUGUUUUGUGGAAUUCAUGCUUCUCAUCUGAGCUGACUUUCCUACGUCUGCCUCCCCCGGCCGUUUCAUCUUCCUGUGCAAGCAAAGCCUUCCAAGUAGCGGAGUUUGGAUAGCUCUGACUUCGGGUGCCUGACUUGGUAUGGUAAGGGAAACACUUCCCAAAAUCAGCACCUGAGCUUAUCCUUUAGCGUAGAGUGGAGAUUUGACAAAGUCAGCGUAUUUGGCCAAGUGAACAUCCAAAAAAGGUGGUUAAAAUCCCCCCAGGGGAUUUCUGAACCAUUAGACUGUCAACUUUGAUUUUUAGUAAGUGAAAACUUACUCAGUAUAGCAACAGACGUGGGAAAUCUUUCUUGUCUGUGGUUUAUCUCAUAAUUAUCUACAGGAUAAUUAAACCAGAAGUUUCCCUCCAUGUAGAAGACAGAAUAUUAUCUGGAAUAAUAGAGGAAGGAAAGGGGAAAAGGAGGGAGGGAGGAGAAGAGAGAGAAACACCUCUGUCUUGCCAUGUUUUAAGGGCACUAAUUUAUUAUCAACUUGUGAGAGCCCAAAAUGCAAAUAGAGAAAUCAGGGAAAACCAGGCAAGUGUCCAAAUGUAUUCCUAAGAGUUUGAAGUUAGUAAUUGAAAUAAACUUUAUACAUCAGAAGGAAUGUCACCUUCAUAGGCACUUUUGUUCAUGUGUUGAUGCGAAUCUUUAGUUAGAAACAGAAAGGGAAAGAGGCCUACUGAGGAUCUGAAAUACUACUCUAAUUUAUUUAUAGUUUGUAUUUACCAUAACAGAAACUUCUGUGAGCUGUGGGCAUCUGUCAGUCACUUAAUUAACAAUCAGCUGAGUUAAUCAUGCUGAUAAUCCACUGCAUACCACUGUGGGCUUAAAUUCUAAAGAGGCCUAAACCAGCCAGGAUGCCCUCCCUGCUAUAAAGAUGUCUUGCAGCUAAUUCCCAGGUAACAGGACCCUCCAACAAACCUCAACUGUGACUAAGAAAACAGGAGCCAUGGGCAAGGAAGCAUUUACUGUGCCUUAAAGAAUGACCUGAUGUCAUUGGGCCCUUGUAGGAACAGUAGUUCACCACCCCAAUGUUUGCCAGUCUUAGCAUAUCCAGACCAUCUCCGGGAAUGCAUGUGGAAAUAUAAUGUACCUCCCUAAUCAAUAAUCAAGUCCGUUGGGCAUUACCAGGUGUUCUUCCAUUUUCAAUGAAGUAUUUUUUUCAUUUUCAAUGUGAUUGACAACCCCACAUUAAUCAGUAUUGUUUAAACUUGACUCAAAGCAUAUACUCGCCCUAUAAGAAAAGUGUAAAACCUGCAACCAAACUCAGUCAUGCAGAACAGCCAGCUCAGAGCAACUGACUGGUUGUUUCCAGCUUUAAAUGCUCCAUUUCUCUUCAUGAAUAAAACCUCAUCUUUGGUUUCCCUGCAAAACUCUCAUUUUCAGUUAACACCACAUAGUUAGAGACUUCUGGAAACUCUUCAAUGACCAUCAGAGAAAACAAUAGCUACGUGUAGAGAUUUUUUUCCAAGUUCUAUUGGCAGGGCAGGGAGGCAUGGAUCCUGAGUCAUUCCCAUGAAGCAAACCAUCAACGUGCAGAACAAGACGCUAGGCGCCUCAGUGACGGUCUAGGAAUGUGCUCAAGGUUCUAUAACGACACCAUCCUGCCUUGCCAAGAAAUGGGCAGACCUUGCCUUUCUGCCCAAGCUGCCUGCGGGGCCCAACCAUUUCCUUCAUCUCAAGAAGAGGUGCCUCCUCCCACCCAGGCUUGUGUCUCCCUCCAGUUCAGGACUCUCAGCGACAACCAGGCUCCACCCACCACCCCCCCUUCAUCUCCUCAUCAUUUAAACAUGCUUACCUUGUGUUUAUGUCCUAACUACAGUCAUUCUGUUCAUUGGUCUUCAACUACCUGCCUACCUCAUUCAUUCCCUUCACGGUGGAGCCUCUGGAGAAAUACUUGCCUCCAUCAUCUCACAUCCCUCUCAAGUCACAACCUGCUCAUUGUCUUCUUCCCCCACCUCGGGGGAACUACUCUCCCCGAGUA